AAGCAGGGCAGGAGAGCCGGCAGAGGAAGACAAGGCAGGCGAGGAAGUGGUGGUGCUGCUGACGAGGCAAACCGCAGCAGUGAUGGAGCUCUGCCUCUCUCCUGGCGUGAAUACUUGAUGAGGUUUACAGUGACAGGAGGAAGUAAGGCCAGAAAGUCACGCAUAGCAGAGGUGUAGGAAUAUCGUGGUUUGGACCUUUCACUUUCACGAAGAA
rnacentral:lncRNA from 1 species